rnacentral:rRNA from 1 species
GGAUGAACGCUGGCGGCGUGCUUAACACAUGCAAGUCGAACGAUGAAGCCUCACUUGUGGGGUGGAUUAGUGGCGAACGGGUGAGUAACACGUGAGCAACCUGCCCUGGACUCUGGGAUAAGCGCUGGAAACGGUGUCUAAUACUGGAUAUGAGCUUCUGCCGCAUGGUGGGGGUUGGAAAGAUUUUUCGGUCUGGGAUGGGCUCGCGGCCUAUCAGCUUGUUGGUGAGGUAAUGGCUCACCAAGGCGUCGACGGGUAGCCGGCCUGAGAGGGUGACCGGCCACACUGGGACUGAGACACGGCCCAGACUCCUACGGGAGGCAGCAGUGGGGAAUAUUGCACAAUGGGCGGAAGCCUGAUGCAGCAACGCCGCGUGAGGGAUGACGGCCUUCGGGUUGUAAACCUCUUUUAGCAGGGAAGAAGCGUGAGUGACGGUACCUGCAGAAAAAGCGCCGGCUAACUAC